UACGAAUGGAGCGAGCGUUGUUCGGAAUUACUGGGCGUAAAGCGUGCGCAGGCGGUUAUCCAAGUCAGAAGUGAAAUCCCAGGGCUCAACCCUGGAAUUGCUUUUGAAACUGUAUAACUAGAGUCCCGGAGAGGUAAACGGAAUUUCCAGUGUAGAGGUAAAAUUCGCAGAUAUUGGAAGGAACACCAGUGGCGUAAGCGGUUUACUGGACGGGUACUGACGCUCAGGCACGAAAGCGUGGGGAGCAAACAGG
rnacentral:misc_RNA from 1 species